UACGGAGGGUGCAAGCGUUAUCCGGAUUCACUGGGUUUAAAGGGUGCGUAGGCGGACAGGUAAGUCAGUGGUGAAAUCUCUGGGCUUAACUCAGAAACUGCCGUUGAUACUAUUUGUCUUGAAUGUCAUGGAGGUAAGCGGAAUAUGUCAUGUAGCGGUGAAAUGCUUAGAUAUGACAUAGAACACCGAUAGCGAAGGCAGCUUACUACAUGAAGAUUGACGCUGAGGCACGAAAAGCGUGGGGAGCAAACAGG
rnacentral:rRNA from 1 species